rnacentral:rRNA from 1 species
GAUGAACGCUAGCGAUAGGCUUAACACAUGCAAGUCGAGGGGCAGCACGGGAUUAGCUUGCUAAUCUUGGUGGCGACCGGCGUAAGGGUGCGUAACGCGUAUGCAACUUGCCUGUCAGUGGGGGAUAACCCGGAGAAAUCCGGACUAAUACCGCAUACACUUUGGUUUCCGCAUGGGGACUUUAGGAAAGAUUUAUUGCUGACAGAUAGGCAUGCGUUCCAUUAGAUAGUUGGUGAGGUAACGGCUCACCAAGUCGACGAUGGAUAGGGGAGCUGAGAGGCUUAGCCCCCACACGGGAACUGAGACACGGUCCAGACUCCUACGGGAGGCAGCAGUGAGGAAUAUUGGUCAAUGGGCGAGAGCCUGAACCAGCCAAGUCGCGUGAAGGAAGACGGUCCUAUGGAUUGUAAACUUCUUUAGUAGGUGAGUACAAGCAGUUACGUGUAGCUGUAAGCAAGUAACCGAAGAAUAAGUAUCGGCUAACUCCGUG